AGAGUUUGAUCCUGGCUCAGGAUGAACGCUGGCGGCGUGCCUAAUACAUGCAAGUCGAGGAGAAGCUACUUUGACGCGUUUUCGGACAAGUCUGUGUAGUGGAAAGCGGCGGACGGGUAGUAACGCGUAGGCAACCUGCCCUUAGCAGAGGGAUAGCCAUUGGAAACGAUGAUUAAACCUCAUAAUGCCAACUCAACACAUGUUGAGCUGGCCAAAGAUUUAUCGGCUAAGGAUGGCCUGCGUCUGAUUAACUAGUUGGCGGGGUAACGGCCCACCAAGGUAACGAUCAGUAGCCACCUGAGAGGGUGAUCGGCCACAUUGGAACUGAGACACGGUCCAAACUUCUACGGAAGGAGCAGUAAGGAAUCUUGCACAAUGGGGGAAACCCUGAUGCAGCAACGCCGCGUGAACGAGAAGGCCUUCGGGUUGUAAAGUUCUGAUCUUGGGGAAGAAGAAAGUGACGGUACCCAAGAGAAAGCCCCGGCUAACUACGUGCCAGCAGCCGCGGUAAUACGUAGGGGGCAAGCGUUACCGGAAUUAUUGGGCGUAAAGAGUGCGUAGGUGGUUACCUAAGCGCAAGGUUUAAUCUUAGGCUCAACCUCAUUCUGCCUUGCGAACUGGGCUACUUGAGUGCUGGAGGGGAAAGCGGAUUCCCAGUGUAGCGGUGAAAUGCGUAGAUAUUGGGAAGAACACCGGUGGCGAAAGCGGUUUCUGGACAGUAACUGACACUGAGGCACGAAAGCGUGGGGAGCAAACAGGAUUAGAUACCUGGUAGUCCACGCCGUAAACGAUGAGCACUAGUUGUUGGGUCCGAAUGGAUUCAGUGCGCAGUUAACGCAAUAAGUGCUCCGCCUGGGG
rnacentral:rRNA from 1 species